rnacentral:lncRNA from 1 species
GGGGCGUAGCAGCGGGGUGGGACCCCGGGGAGGAGCCGGGACUGAGAUACCAGAGUGAGAGAGACCCCAGGGCAGAAGCCGGGACUGCGAUAGCAGACGCUGAGCGCAGGGCCGGAGCCGGGGCUGAAUCCCAAAGCCCAGGGCAGGACCCGGCGCUGAGAUCCCAGAGCCCAGCACAGGAGCCGGGACUGGGAGCCUCACACCGGAGCCUCUCGGGGACCAUCCGCAGCCGGGACGGGCGGCAGCCCCCGCACGAGCGGCCAUCCCUGCAGGCGCGCGGCUCACGGCCAGAAGUUCCCGCUUCUGCACUGCGCUCAGUUUAGCACAGGUGGACGGCAGCUCGCCCCACACUGCUGGGACACAGCUCUCCAGCCUCAGCUUUGCUUGGUGCUGCUGCGUUCCCCCCUGCUCUGCUGCCAGGGGGAAACGCAGGCACGAGCAGCUCCAUCUUCCCCACCUCGCUAAUUAAAGCCACCAGAAAUAGGUCAGGCUAUUUCCAUCCCGAGGCCAUAAUGACUGCUCAACAGGGUGAAGUGUUUCCUUUCUCUUUGCCCACACUAACUCUCCACGUGCGUUUCAUCUACAGAGAGCUUCAUCUUCAAACCCUGUGGCCUCCAAGCCCUGACAUUUUAAAGGAAAAAACCUCCAGCCUUAACAGAAGCGAUACAUCUGGUCCAGCCCACUGCCCACCCACUUAUCACUGUGGUUUCUUCCACUUCCUACGCAGCUUUGCAUCUCCAAUUGCCAGUCUUUCCCUUUGCAUCUUAUAAAAGAAGUUAUUUAUAUUGCGGUGUCAUCCACGACAAGCUCAGACGAAAGUCUCAGCAUAUGGCAGCCUGUUAUUGAGCAAGGAGCAUUGCGAAAGGGAGCACCAAACCAACCUUUCCUGACGCAAACAGGCACGUAGGAUGGGUUUUUAUGGUCUUUCUACAGUAAGUGCCACAUUUCUGGGAAAUGGCAGGUAAUGGUACAAACCAGUUAUCUGACAAACGAUGGUACAGCUUGAAAAAGAAUGCUUGUAAGUGGCUUUAUUGCUCCUGUGCUAGCACAAGCCUGAUAGAGAGGGCAGCACCAAUGAGCUCAGCAGCAGUAAAUACCACGAGUGUCAUAACGGUUGAUUGUAUUAAGCAAAAAUAAAAUAGAAACUGGAGAAGAAAUGGAAGCAAAUGGAAGAAAAGCAGGAGGUGUGACGUGUGUGUUUGUGGGAACAGGAAGAAAAGCAGAACUAAAAGGCAGAAGGCAGGAAAAGUGAAAAAAAAAGUGUAAUUCUCUACUAUGCCCCAGGAUUUACAAUGCUUUGCUGCUGUUUCCAACUGUUGUUAAGCUGAUCUCUUUCUCCUGGGGCUGCUCUCAGCCUGUGCCACUCUGGAUUUGUCAUUCCCCUUUGGAAAACUUCCUCAAAAGGAGCCUCGCCCAACUCUGCUUCUCCCCCCUCUCCCCUUCUUCCUCCCCACAGUCAUCAGGUCCUGAAGCAUGGGAAAAUAACAGAUGUUCAAGCUAAAAUAAAAAGGCCUCUGCUCCUUUCCAAGAGAGGGAGAUGUGGCAAGUUUGUGAGCAGGAACGGGAUUACACCCAGCGUGCUCCAAAUCAGCAGGAAAAAUCUCCUGAUUCAAGGGAAAGACGCUGCGGCCUAUGAAUUGCAGGAAAAGGCAGAGCUCGUGUGGUUAAAAGGCAAUAAAAAUGGAGGGUUGGGGCAGCAGAGCUGUCAGCUGGCUUCUUCCCAUGAAGAAAAGAAGUUAGUCAUCAGAACUGAAAACUUCAUGCAACUUCAGCACACAUGGAAACGAUGAAGCGAGGAGCAGCGAGGAGAGGCAGCCAGCACGCUCCCUGCACUGCCUUCAGAGCAGUUGAAGACGUUUCCAGAACAUCUGCAUCAGUAGACUAAGAGGCUUCCUGCAAAACUGCUGUUAAAGAGAAAAAAGAAUUCUCCUGAAGGCCUUCUAAUACAUCUUUCACAAUGGCAAGUUCUUGGGAAUUCAUACCAAAGCAGGAAGAACAGAUUUACGAGUGAGUUCACUUUU